rnacentral:rRNA from 1 species
UGGGGAAUUUUCCGCAAUGGGGGGAACCCUGACGGAGCAACGCCGCGUGCGGGAGGACGGCCUGUGGGUUGUAAACCGCUUUUCUCUAGGAAGAAGCUCUGACGGUACUAGAGGAAUCAGCAUCGGCUAACUCCGUGCCAGCAGCCGCGGUAAGACGGAGGAUGCAAGCGUUAUCCGGAAUUAUUGGGCGUAAAGAGUCCGUAGGCGGUUCAUCAAGUCAGUUGUUAAAGACUGCAGCUCAACUGUGGGCGAGCAACUGAAACUGGUGAACUAGAGAGCGGUAGGGGUAGAGGGAAUUCCCAGUGUAGCGGUGAAAUGCGUAGAUAUUGGGAAGAACAUCGGUGGCGAAGGCGCGCUACUGGGCCGGACCUGACACUCAGGGACGAAAGCUAGGGGAGCGAAAGGGAUUAGAUACCCCUGUAGUCC